GAGGGUAUAGCUCAGUGGUAGAGUGUGAGCCUAGCAUGUACAAGGUCCUGGAUCCAAUCCCCAGUACCUUCA
rnacentral:tRNA from 1 species